GUAAAAGAGAUGCUGCGCACAGAAACACACUGGUUCAGUGAAGGCUACAGAUAUCGUUGCUGUCCUGGUGACUGGUGAGUGGUGAACAUUGAUCACGAGGUUCUACUCACAAACCCCCUGCUGCUUGUGCUUCUUCAUCCCCAACUCCACUCACACUGGCACACUCACCUGCUCUCCCAACUCCAUCCACGCUUCCAUCGCCACUGCCAUCGCCCAGAGCUUCUUUUCAGGGGGACAUGCUGGCUAUGGUUCUGAGCUCUGUUGCAACACAUUCAUGAUUGAAGGGAAUAGUUUGUCAAGACAUGCCAACUUCUGGAGUCUAGAGCUAUACAUUUCUUCGCAUCCCAUGGAUGGCCUUGCUUUUUGCGAAUUGAUCAAUAAUGUUAAACACAAUGUGUGUAUUAAACUUUGAGUGUGCUUGUAAUAUUGGUGGUCUGAUGCCUCUCAUUUGAGGGGUUUAAAGUCGGAAUUAUUUCCAUUAUCUAAAAAUAGAAUGAAGAGAUAAUAAAGGAAAUAUUUACUCUGUGUGUAUCAA